GAUCCUAUGUAGCACUGCUGACAGGAGCACUGCUCUUUUCCCUUCUGAAUCAGUGUUAAUGCAGCAGAUCUGCACUCAGAGAAGUUACCCCUUGCAUGAAGAUUGGAUAGAAUUUUAUUCUUUUCCAUUGAACCUGGAGAGAGCUUCCAAGAUUCCAUAGCAUGUGAGUAGCCCUUGGGAAUACAGGGAUCUACAAAUAUUCCUUUCUCAAGUGAUUCCGAUGCUGGUUGAUAGUCCACUGAGACAAGUGA
rnacentral:misc_RNA from 1 species